rnacentral:lncRNA from 1 species
CCUCUCAGCGUUUUGCUUUUUUAGCCGUCCAUUUUGAUGAUCGGGUCAUUUCUAGCCGUCGGAUGUGAUGUAUACCGUCACCUCCAGCACACUUUUUCAUCAUCGGCCCGACUGUCCUAAUGGGCCGCUGCUCCGGUGGCCGAAACCGUGUUAUCUGGUAAAAUGGACCUAUUUUCUCAGCCCAUCCAGGAUAAAAAAAAUCAUAUUUUUCAUACGUUAUCUACAAAAUAUAUGCAACUACACAAAUGAAACAUACAUAAUUAAACAAAUAAAUUUAUAUUACCUGUUUCAACACCAUCCAUUCACGCUAAAUUUAUUCGAACAACAAACCUACAAUACACAAUAAAUUUCAACAAAUUUAACAUACAACUAUUACUCAUUAUUCAAAAAAAUAAAGAAUUAAAGACAACAAAGUUUAAC